ACAGGUGAUGCACGGCUGUCGUCAGCUCGUGUCGUGAGAUGUUGGGUUAAGUCCCGCAACGAGCGCAACCCUCAUCGUUAGUUGCUAACAGUUCGGCUGAGCACUCUAGCGAGACUGCCUUCGCAAGGAGGAGGAAGGUGAGGACGACGUCAAGUCAUCAUGGCCCUUAUGGCUAGGGCUACACACGUGCUACAAUGGGGCGUACAGAGAGUUGCGAUACCGCGAGGUGGAGCUAAUCUCAUAAAGCGUCUCUCAGUUCGGAUUGAUCUCUGCAACUCGAGAUCAUGAAGCUGGAAUCACUAGUAAUCGUAGGUCAGCAAUGCUACGGUGAAUACGUUCCCGGGUCUUGUACUCACCGCCCGUCACACCAUGGGAGUUGAUUUCA
rnacentral:rRNA from 1 species